rnacentral:rRNA from 1 species
GAGUUUGAUCCUGGCUCAGAACGAACGCUGGCGGCAGGCCUAACACAUGCAAGUCGUGCGCGCCUUCGGGUGAGCGGCGGACGGGUGAGUAACACGUGGGAAUGUGCCCUUCUGUUGAGGAUAGCCCCGGGAAACUGGGAGUAAUACUCGAUACGCCCUUAGGGGGAAGGAAGGAUCAGCCCGCGUCUGAUUAGGUAGUUGGUGGGGUAAUGGCCUACCAAGCCUACGAUCAGUAGCUGGUUUUAGAGGAUGAUCAGCCACACUGGGACUGAGACACGGCCCAGACUCCUACGGGAGGCAGCAGUGAGGAAUCUUAGACAAUGGGCGCAAGCCUGAUCUAGCCAUGCCGCGUGAGUGAUGAAGGCCUUAGGGUCGUAAAGCUCUUUCGCCAGGGAUGAUAAUGACAGUACCUGGUAAAGAAACCCCGGCUAACUCCGUGCCAGCAGCCGCGGUAAUACGGAGGGGGUUAGCGUUGUUCGGAAUUACUGGGCGUAAAGCGCGCGUAGGCGGACUGGAAAGUUGGGGGUGAAAUCCCAGGGCUCAACCCUGGAACUGCCUCCAAAACUAUCAGUCUAGAGUUCGAGAGAGGUGAGUGGAAUUCCGAGUGUAGAGGUGAAAUUCGUAGAUAUUCGGAGGAACACCAGUGGCGAAGGCGGCUCACUGGCUCGAUACUGACGCUGAGGUGCGAAAGUGUGGGGAGCAAACAGGAUUAGAUACCCUGGUAGUCCACACCGUAAACGAUGAAUGCCAGUCGUC